rnacentral:tRNA from 1 species
UGGGGUAUCGCCAAGCGGUAAGGCACCGGUUUUGAUACCGGCAUUCCCUCGGUUCGAAUCCAGGUACCCCAGCCA